GAUGAACGCUGGCGGCGUGCUUAACACAUGCAAGUCGAACGGAAAGGCUCCUGAUUGCAGGGGUACUCGAGUGGCGAACGGGUGAGUAACACGUGGGGGAUCUGCCCUGCACUUCGGGAUAAGCCUGGGAAACUGGGUCUAAUACCGGAUAGGACGAUGGUUUGGAUGCGAUUGUGGAAAGAUAUUCGGUGUGGGAUGAGCUAGCGGCCUAUCAGCUUGUUGGUGGGGUAAUGGCGUACCAAGGCGUCGACGGGUAGCCGGCCUGGGAGGGUGUACGGCCCCAUUGGGCCUGAGAUACGGCCCAGACGCCUACGGGAGGCAGCAGUGGGGAAUAUUGCACAAUGGGCGCAAGCCUGAUGCAGCGACGCCGCGUGGGGGAUGACGGCCUUCGGGUUGUAAACUCCUUUCGCUAGGGACGAAGCGUUUUGUGACGGUACCUGGAGAAGAAGCACCGGCUAACUACGUG
rnacentral:rRNA from 1 species